rnacentral:rRNA from 1 species
UAUGUUCCUUUUUUUCCCUCCGACUCGGUAAUACGGAAGGUCCGGGCGUUAUCCGGAUUUAUUGGGUUUAAAGGGAGCGUAGGCCGCAGGUUAAGCGUGUUGUGAAAUGUAGGGGCUCAACCUCUGCACUGCAGCGCGAACUGGCUUGCUUGAGUACGCACAACGUGGGCGGAAUUCGUGGUGUAGCGGUGAAAUGCUUAGAUAUCACGAAGAACUCCGAUUGCGAAGGCAGCUCACUGGAGCGCAACUGACGCUGAAGCUCGAAAGUGCGGGUAUCGAACAGG